UACGGAGGGUGCAAGCGUUGUCCGGAAUCACUGGGCGUAAAGGGCGCGUAGGCGGCUCAUGAAGGCUGUGGUGAAAGUCCGGGGCUCAACCUCGGAUCGGCCGUGGCGACUCGUGGGCUGGAGCACUGUAGAGGCGGGUGGAAUUCCGGGUGUAGCGGUGGAAUGCGUAGAGAUCCGGAGGAACACCAGUGGCGAAGGCGGCCCGCUGGGCAGUGGCUGACGCUGAGGCGCGACAGCGUGGGGAGCAAACAGG
rnacentral:rRNA from 1 species